GCCACACGUUCACGGGGUCAUGCGAUCAUACACCUUCCACCGCCGUGCUGAAAACAACUCCUCAGGAUUCCAGUUUUGAAGAGCCGCAGACCGUCCAUGGGCACAGGUGCAGAAAUAAUUGGACAGGAACACCUUGAAAAGGGCUGCCCGACUGCAAGAAGAGAGGUUGGACGAGAUGAAGGCAAAAUUGCAAAAUUGCAAAAAGGGGAGGGGUGCUGGAGCUGUCCACUUCCCGUCUACCUGGAGUGAUUUCUGACAUCAUGGAGUACAGGAGAGCUAUCACAGGGUCUCCGGAGAACAUCGCUGGUGCACCUGCAUGAAUUGCAGGGAGACUCCUGCACCUUACAAUACACAACUGCUGCCAUUUCACCACUGCAAUAUUCCAUUUAUUGAUUAUCAAGUAUGUUUACAUAACAGGUUAACACUUUCCACGACUACACUGUAAUUUUUUAUUACAUUUUUUCCUUGGUCUGGGUGAUAUCAGUUCAGUACUUUAUCAGAAUGUUUCCCUUACACUGUGCUUUUGUUAUUUUGAGGAAGGUUACAGAGACUACCUUGUAUUCAUG